UCUUCCAAGCAAACCCGAUAUAAUUCAGAAACUAAACAGAACCUCUCCUCUCAACAAAACCGAAGCCAACACCUCCCCUUUCGACAUUACUCACCAAACGCAGACCUCUACACUCUCUCAAACGCAGAUCCAACUAUUUCACAGAAAGCUUGCAAGGGCUACACUCUCUUAAACGCAGAUCCAACUAUUUCACAGAAAGCUUGCAAGGGCACGACGAUGGGAGCCAACGUUUUCAAUCUCCGAUCCGACCCCAUAUCAGACCAUUCUCUCUCCGUAUCUCUGUAUUAAUCUAUGAAUAAUCUCUUUUCAUAUUGUCUUUAAUUAGGUUUCUCUGUCAAUUUAAAGAUUUCGUUUUUAAUUAGGUUUUUCUGUCAAUUUAGGGAUUUCAAUUCCUAACCCCCUUUUCUCUCUAUUCUUUUUUAGCACAUCUGAUUUAGCUUAGCACGGGUUAGUGGAACAUGAAAAUUUGAAUUUAGGUAUGAACCAUUUUUGUGGCUUGGAGGGGUUAUAAAAUCCCCUGUUAACUCUUUGAUUAGCUGGGAAAUAGAUAUAUUAUUAUCCUUAGGGUUUAUAAAAUCAGUCAUUCCAAAAGCUGUUCCCUUUGUUUUUUUUUUUUUCCUCUCAUUUGUAUCAAUGCCAAUUAUCUUUGCUGCCCCUUGCACUCUCGCCCCCUGUAUGACCUGCAAUUUUCAAUGAUAUACGUCUUAACACAACUGCAGAUGUCGAUUGAAUUAAUAAAUAUGGUUUUAUGUCUAUGGAAGCUUCAGAAUGAUGAGGAAGGCUACUUCGUAAUCAAUGAUAUAUGUCUUAACACAACUGCAGGUUUAAUAAGUGGACAUAUAUACUCUAUGCUUACUCAAAUUUGCAUAUGCAUUGUAUAAAAAAGCUUAUGAAUUUUAAGGAGAAAGAUGGCUUUUCAUUUUGAUUGGUGAUGAACUAGACUAAUUAUACUACACACCAGUGGCAUGGAAUCUUUAAGUUAAGGUGAAAAGGGUUGCAUUGGUGAGUUUCUUUUGUAUUUCUCUUGCCUUUCAAAGGGCACGAGACUGAGGAUGUAUACUUUUAUAAUGCCUGGUCUACAUGAGAUGGAGUUUCUACUAAUGAACAAUUAGAUGCUUGCAGUGCACACAAGACUGAGACAGGGCUGAUGAAUAACAUUAUAUGUAAUAACAUUAUAACCUUAGUUCACCAAGUUCAAGGUCCUCAAUGUUUUUCUUUUAAUAUGUUUUAUUUAUU